rnacentral:rRNA from 1 species
GACGAACGCUGGCGGCGUGCCUAAUACAUGCCAGUAGAACGCUGAAGGAGGAGCUUGCUUCUCUGGAUGAGUUGCGAACGGGUGAGUAACGCGUAGGUAACCUGCCUGGUAGCGGGGGAUAACUAUUGGAAACGAUAGCUAAUACCGCAUAAGAGUAGAUGUUGCAUGACAUUUGCUUAAAAGGUGCAAUUGCAUCACUACCAGAUGGACCUGCGUUGUAUUAGCUAGUUGGGGGGGUAACGGCUUACCAAGGCGACGAUACAUAGCCGACCCGAGAGGGGGAACGGCCACACUGGGAAUGGGACACGGCCCAGACUCCUACGGGAGGCAGCAGUAGGGAAUCUUCGGCAAUGGACGGAAGUCUGACCGAGCAACGCCGCGGGAGUGAAGAAGGGUUUCGGAUCGUAAAGCUCUGUUGUAAGAGAAGAACGAGUGUGAGAGUGGAAAGUUCACGCUGUGACGGUAUCUUACCAGAAAGGGACGGCUAACUACGUG